UACGUACGAGGCGAGCGUUAUCCGGAAUCACUGGGCGUAAAGGGUGCGUAGGCGGGUCUUUAAGUCAGGGGUGAAAUCCUGGAGCUCAACUCCAGAACUGCCUUUGAUACUGAGGAUCUUGAGUUCGGGAGAGGUGAGUGGAACUGCGAGUGUAGAGGUGAAAUUCGUAGAUAUUCGCAAGAACACCAGUGGCGAAGGCGGCUCACUGGCCCGAUACUGACGCUGAGGCACGAAAGCGUGGGGAGCAAACAGG
rnacentral:rRNA from 1 species